UACGUAGGGUGCAAGCGUUAAUCGGAAUUACUGGCGUAAAGGCGUGCGCAGGCGGUUAUGUAAGACAGGUGUGAAAUCCCCGGGCUUAACCUGGGAACUGCAUUUGUGACUACAUAGCUAGAGUACGGUAGAGGGGGAUGGAAUUCCGGCUGUAGCAGUGAAAUGCGUAGAUAUGCGGAGGAACACCGAUGGCGAAGGCAAUCCCCUGGACCUGUACUGACGCUCAUGCACGAAAGCGUGGGGAGCAAACAGG
rnacentral:rRNA from 1 species